rnacentral:rRNA from 1 species
UCGGGAGGCAGCAGUGGGGAAUUUUGGACAAUGGGCGCAAGCCUGAUCCAGCCAUUCCGCGUGAGUGAAGAAGGCCUUCGGGUUGUAAAGCUCUUUCGCAAGGGAAGAAAACUUAGCCACUAACAUUGGCUGAGGUUGACGGUACCUUGAUAAGAAGCACCGGCUAACUACGUGCCAGCAGCCGCGGUA